rnacentral:rRNA from 1 species
UACGUAGGGGCCGAGCGUUGUCCGGAGUUACUGGGCGUAAAGCGCGCGCAGGCGGCUCGUCAAGCCUGACGUGAAAGCCCCCGCUCAACCGGGGAGGGUCGUCGGGGACUGGCGGGCUUGAGGUCGGCAGGGGUUGGUGGAAUUCCCGGUGUAGUGGUGAAAUGCGUAGAGAUCGGGAGGAACACCCGUGGCGAAGGCGGCCAACUGGGCCGGACCUGACGCUGAGGCGCGAAGGCGUGGGGAGCGAACGGG